AUGUUGCUAUUGAAAGACUACUUGCAUUAUUAUUUUAGGUAUCGUAUGUAUAGAAAAAGUCAAACAACUGGUUUUCCAUCUCUUAUCACUAUUUUCUCUGCACCUAACUACUUAGAUGUGUACAAUAAUAAAGCUGCUGUCCUAAAUAUGAGAACAAUGUCAUGAACAUUAGGCAGUUUAACUGUUCUGCACAUCCCUACUGGCUGCCAAACUUCAUGGAUGUAUUCACUUGGUCAUUACCGUUUGUUGGAGAAAAAGUCACUGAAAUGCUUGUCAAUCUUUUGAAGAUCUGUUCUGAUGAUGAACUGAUGUCUGAAGGCGAUGAUUCAUUUGAAGGU